GAAAUGCGAUAAGUAAUGCGAAUUGCAGAAUCCGUGAGUCAUCGAAUCUUUGAACGCACAUUGCGCCCUUUGGUAUUCCGAAGGGCAUGCCUGUUCGAGCGUCAUUAUCACCCCUCAAGCCCCGGGCUUGGUGUUGGAUUUCGUUAUAGAUCAAGCUGUAACGGGCCUCAAAGAUAGUGACGGCGCCCCAGAAGGAACCGGUACGAGGAGCUUCUAGCUAAGCAUGUACGCGGUAGGACUCUGUGGGUGACGGUCUUGUUUACUUAUAAUUCAAGUGUUGACCUCGGAUCAGGUAGGGAUACCCGCUGAACUUAA
rnacentral:misc_RNA from 1 species